rnacentral:rRNA from 1 species
UACAGAGGCCUCGAGCGUUAGGCGGAAUCACUGGGCUUAAAGCGUGUGUAGGCGGACCCCUAAGUACCUUGUGAAAUCCCACGGCUCACCCGUGGAACGGCUGGGUAUACUGGGGGUCUUGAGCCACCUAGGGGCGAGUGGAACAAAUGGUGGAGUGGUGAAAUGCGUAGAUAUCAUUUGGAACGCCAAUGGUGAAAACAACUCGCUGGGGGUGUGCUGACGCUGAGACACGAAAGCCAGGGGAGCGAACGGG